GAACGCACAUUGCGCCCCCUGGUAUUCCAGGGGGCAUGCCUGUCCGAGCGUCAUUGCUGCCCUCAAGCACGGCUUGUGUGUUGGGCCCCCGUCCCCCCCUCCCGGGGGACGGGCCCGAAAGGCAGCGGCGGCACCGCGUCCGGUCCUCGAGCGUAUGGGGCUUUGUCACCCGCUCUGUAGGCCCGGCCGGCGCCUGCCGACCACCAUCAAUCUUUUUUCAGGUUGACCUCGGAUCAGGUAGGGAUACCCGCUGAACUUAAG
rnacentral:misc_RNA from 1 species